GCGAAAGUGGCGAAAUUGGUAGACGCGCAGGAUUCAGGUUCCUGUUCCCGGUUUGGGUGUAUGGGUUCGACUCCCUUCUUUCGCA
rnacentral:tRNA from 1 species